AUGAAGAUCUACUCUGUGUCAACUAGGCAUUAUUUUUCUUUUGGUGCCCUACUAUCUGACGAACUCGCCGGCAAACUCAGAGAGUUGCCUAAGGUCCGUUGGGUUCUUCCUGAUUCAUACGUGGAUGUAAGAAAUAAGGACUAUGGGGGAGAACCAUUUGUAGAUGGACAGGCUGUUCCUUACGACCCCAAAUACCAUGAGGAGUGGGUGAGAGGCAUUUUUGCAAUGCAGUUUCGACGGUGGUCUCUUACAGGUGUGCAUAUUCAAAAGUGGUGCCAUAGCGCAGAGGAGGCUAUUCCACAGGUCAAAAAGGGCCCAACACUUUCUGUAAGCACGUUCAUUCGACAUAAAUAA
rnacentral:rRNA from 1 species